GUAGCUCAGUGGUUAGAGCAUCCAACCGGUGUACGGAAGAUCAUGGGUUCAAAUCCCCAAAUUUGUCCCA